rnacentral:rRNA from 1 species
AAUCUUGUGCCAGCCACCGCGGUCACACAAGAAACCCAAAUUAACCGUAUGCGGCGUAAAGAGUGGUGCCAUGAUACCAUAACAACUAGGAUUGAAAUGUAACUAGGCUGUCAUAAGCUCAAGAUAUAUCUAAGAUCACCCUUAAGAUGAUCCUAGUACCUCUGAUUAAUUCAACCCCACGAAAGCUAGGGCACAAACUGGGAUUAGAUACCCCAUUAUGCCUAGCCCUAAAUCUUGAUGUUUACCACACCAAAGCAUCCGCCCGAGAACUACGAGCACAAACGCUUAAAACUCUAAGGACUUGGCGGUGCCCCAAACCCACCUAGAGGAGCCUGUUCUAUAAUCGAUAAUCCACGAUUCACCCAACCACCCCUCGCCAAAAGCAGCCUACAUACCGCCGUCGCCAGCCCACCUUCCCUGAGAGUCCCACAGUGAGCAUAACAGCCCAAGUCCGCUAGUAAGACAGGUCAAGGUAUAGCCUAUGGGGUGGAAGAAAUGGGCUACAUUUUCUAUAAUAGAAAACCCACGAAAGGGGACGUGAAACGGUCCCCGGAAGGCGGAUUUAGCAGUAAAGCGGGAUAAUAAAGCCCUCUUUAAGUUGGCCCUGGGGCACGUACAUACCGCCCGUCACCCUCCUCACAAGCCACCAACAUCCAUAAUUAAUAAGCUCCAUGGCUGAAGAUGAGGUAAGUCGUAACAAGGUAAGUGUACCGGAAGGUGCACUUAGUAUAC